GGCGUGGCCAAGCGGUAAGGCAGCGGGUUUUGGGCCCGUUACUCGUAGGUUCGAAUCCUUCCGCCCCAAA
rnacentral:tRNA from 1 species